GCACAAGCGGUGGAGCAUGUGGUUUAAUUCGAUGCAACGCGAAGAACCUUACCUGGGCUUGACAUCCCGGGAAUCCCUUGGAAACAAGGGAGUGCCCUUCGGGGAACCUGGAGACAGGUGCUGCAUGGCUGUCGUCAGCUCGUGUCGUGAGAUGUAGGGUUAAGUCCCGCAACGAGCGCAACCCUUGUCUUUAAUUGCCAUCAUUGAGUUGGGCACUUUAAAGAGACUGCCGGUGUUAAACCGGAGGAAGGUGGGGAUGACGUCAAGUCCUCAUGGCCUUUAUACCCAGGGCUACACACGUGCUACAAUGGGCUGCACAAAGGGUCGCUAGCUCGCGAGAGUGCGCUAAUCCCAAAAAGCAGUUCUCAGUUCGGAUUGGAGUCUGCAACUCGACUCCAUGAAGUUGGAAUCGCUAGUAAUCGUGGAUCAGCACGCCACGGUGAAUACGUUCCCGGGCCUU
rnacentral:rRNA from 1 species